GCCGGGCGUGGUGGCGCACACCUGUAAUCCCAGCUACUCGGGAGGCUGAGGCAGGAGAAUUGCUUGAACCCGGGAGGUGGAGGUUGCAGUGAGCUGAGAUGGCACCAUUGCACUCCAGCCUGGGUGACAGAGAGAGACUCUGUCUCAA
rnacentral:SRP_RNA from 1 species